AGUGGUGGAUUAGUGGCUAAGACUUUGGAUUUUUGAUCAGAAGGUCAUGAGUUCAAAUCCCAGCACCACCA